UCCUGGUGGCGAGUGGCGAACGGGUGAGUAAUAUAUCGGAACGUGCCCAGUCGUGGGGGAUAACGUAGCGAAAGCUACGCUAAUACCGCAUACGAUCUAUGGAUGAAAGCGGGGGAUCGCAAGACCUCGCGCGAUUGGAGCGGCCGAUAUCAGAUUAGGUAGUUGGUGAGGUAAAGGCUCACCAAGCCGACGAUCUGUAGCUGGUCUGAGAGGACGACCAGCCACACUGGGACUGAGACACGGCCCAGACUCCUACGGGAGGCAGCAGUGGGGAAUUUUGGACAAUGGGCGCAAGCCUGAUCCAGCAAUGCCGCGUGCAGGAUGAAGGCCUUCGGGUUGUAAACUGCUUUUGUACGGAACGAAACGGUGAGCUCUAAUACAGUUUGCUAAUGACGGUACCGUAAGAAUAAGCACCGGCUAACUACGUGCCAGCAGCCGCGGUAAUACGUAGGGUGCGAGCGUUAAUCGGAAUUACUGGGCGUAAAGCGUGCGCAGGCGGUUAUAUAAGACAGAUGUGAAAUCCCCGGGCUCAACCUGGGACCUGCAUUUGUGACUGUAUAGCUAGAGUACGGUAGAGGGGGAUGGAAUUCCGCGUGUAGCAGUGAAAUGCGUAGAUAUGCGGAGGAACACCGAUGGCGAAGGCAAUCCCCUGGACCUGUACUGACGCUCAUGCACGAAAGCGUGGGGAGCAAACAGGAUU
rnacentral:rRNA from 1 species